GAUCGCACGGGAUAAUAGAUUAUCCUAUGCGUUCGGGUUAUACGGACCGUACGGGAUUAUCUAUUAUCCCGUGCGGUC
rnacentral:pre_miRNA from 11 species